ensembl:lncRNA
CCUGACUCAGCUGAAGAGUUGCCCACAGAAAGCUGCUCCCAGCGGCACUGCUGCUACAAAAUCUGUUCUGAGGGAAUGAUGCACAGCAUUUUUGCCCAACCAACAUGUGAAGACUCAUGGUUCUCCAAGUCACUGUUAGAUUAUUAGUUUUUCUUUGGAUGUUGUGACACCACAGCUACAGUUCUGCAUUGUCAUGGAGGUUGAGGUUCGAGCCCACGGAGCUGUCCUCCAACACAACGGUGCCCACGCACAGAUGCUGGCAGAAAGGUUUAACCCAUGGAGCAGCAUCCCCCAAAGGAAGGGCAGUGGUAAGCCUACAUUAAAUCAUGCUG